rnacentral:misc_RNA from 1 species
AUGAUUGCGAAUGGUUGCCGUCAGUGCUGGCUCGCAAGAGCAAGUGCACGUUGGUGACUUUCAUCCAAUUCCACACCCUGUGAACCUUUGGCCUCUUGCGAGCUUCGGCUGGCAGAGGAUUUUACAUAUACUCCGAAUGUAAUGAAAACUUUUGUUGUGCGCAAGCACUAAUAUA